UUAAAUUAACAGACCUUAACUUUGCUUAAUUACCCGAAAUAGGUGGAGCUAAUUUAAAUUAGAGUUUUAGAGCAUAUUGAAUAAUGUGGCAAAAUUAUAAAAAAAAAUUUAAUUAGGGGUGAAAGGCCUAUCAAUACCUACAGAUAUCUGGAUAAGCCUUAAAAAUAUUUAGUAUUAUGAGUCAUAUAUAAAAUUUUAAGGUUUUAUAUUAAAAAAAUGGUGUAAGUAGAGUUAAAGUAAAUAAAUUAAUCUUUAUUUGCUUAAAUAAAAAUAAAAUUAUUUUACAUUUAUAUUUUGAGUGCCAAGGUUUUCACUUGAGUUAAUGUAUUGUUGAGUUGAUUUUGUUUAAAUUAGUAAUGUAUAUAAACUAUUUAAAAGGAACUCGGCAAAUGGAAAUCUCACCUGUUUAUCAAAAACAUAGUUAGCUUAUUUUAGCUAAUUCUUUCUGCCCGGUGAUAAGUUUUAACGGCCGCAGUACACUGACUGUGCAAAGGUAGCAUAAUAAUUUGACUUUUAAUUGAAGUCCAGUAUAAACGGGAACAUGGGAUUAGACUGUCUCUUAUUUAUUUGAUUAAAUUACUCUAGAAAGUGAAAAGACUUUCGCAGAUUAAAAGACGAGAAGACCCUAUGAAUUUUUAUUAAGAAGGUAAAUUGUACUUUUAAAUUUUUGUUGGGGCAACAAAUUGACACUAAAUUUAUGAUUAACUAUACAGCAAAUUAAUUUAAAUGUAUACACCGAAUAAUAUUAAUCAAAGAUAAAUUACUAUAGGGAUAACAGCAUAAUUACAUUAUCUAGAUUGUGACCUCGAUGUUGGACUAGGAAACAAUUGAGGUAGCACUUUAAUUGUAUAGUUCUGUUCGAACUUUUCCU
rnacentral:rRNA from 1 species